CCCAGCCCUUCUAAAUCUUAUCCCCACUUCUAAUUCCCCAAAGUCCCUUUGGAAUUCCAUCAAUUCCAAAUAUAGGAAGUUCAAACCCUAAUUUAUUUUAUUUUUCUGGUUCCACGCAAGUUCUGGCUCGCUUUGACCUAUAACCUAUGUUAGUCAAUUGCUCUUGACCAGAGCAAUCGAUGGCCAUUGGAUUCCGAGGAAGCCCAAUUUCAACGAACUUAUCGGAUUUCGACCAAAUGUUCUACUUCCGUCAUCGUUCAUCGGUUCGUUUCAUUUUGUCAAGACAUUUAGGUGUGAAUUGGUACUUUCCCUUCUUUUUUCUAAUGAUUUUGUACGUUGUAGUAUUUUCUGUUCUUAUUUUAUUUUAUUUUUAUUUUCUUCAUUGCUUUUCCUUAUUUUCUUUAUGUAGUGGAAGUAGUUAAAUUAGGUUUAAUCGUAAGAGUCUAAAUUAUUUAUUUGUUUUUUAUUUUCUGAAUGUGACUUCUUUUUGUUUGAUCAUCUCUGAUUUUUGUGUUUUUGUAUUGACUGUGGUCAUCAUUGAUCCGGCUAAGAGACCCGUUCAUUGGGGUCAUGGGUUAAUUUGAUCCAGGUUGCCAUUCUGAAUGUAAAAAAAAGGAUGUCAAGAGGUGUUUUAGAAAUUUGAGGUUUGAGGGAAACAUUUUCUAUUACGAGAAAAUUUCUAUAGGAUGAGAUAAGAGCCGGUUUGUUAAGAGCAGGGGGUUUCAAAUAUUUUAAGGAGGUAAAAAGGGAAAAACAACCAAGAACUUAAAGGUAGAAAGGGAAUUGGUUGGCUGGACUAGGGUUGCCUUAGGCAUGCUUAUAUAUGACCUCUUUUCCUUCACUUUUUAAAGUAGCCUUUCAUACUCUAGAAAUACUGAAAAUUUCCUGCAUUUUGUUGGUUAAAACUUGCUUUGGUUCUGCUCUUGAUCUUCAUAGAUAGUCAGAAUUUUUUAAACUUUCAAAGAAUUUUCGUUGUCUGGGUUAUAAAUGGUCUAAGAAAACUGAGAUUACAAGUGUUGUAUUGUUGAUUUACACUCUCAUGUUGUUGCUGAUUUCUUUUUUUCUUUGUUUGCUCUAAACUUUGUCACGGGUAUCUCUUGGACCUUAUCAAAUGUGAAGCUCAAACUUGAAGCAUGUUAAUUGAAUGUGGAGACAUGAGCAUUAGUAUAAAUUUGAUGCAAUUUAGAAUCUAUCUUUGUUUUAUGCAUUUUAGUAGUUUAUUCUGUAAUUUGUUCUUGUACUCACUCAAUCUAUUGAUAAUAUGUUCCAUGCUAGGUUUGUAUUUGGACUUUAACUUAGCAUGAUAUUGGUUUGGCUAAAACUUUCCUUGUUAAGCAUAUAAUGUCUGGGCUGUUGUAAAGGGUUUUGGGACUCAUCUUGAUGGGUUUUGUUUUGUUCAAGUUAGUAGUGAAGUUCAGCUCGAGAUUAACUCCUAUCAUGACUGUUGUUUUGGGAUCUUGUUUGUAGUACUUGAAUAAAUCUAGGAACCACUGUUGCAUUAUAAUACUUAGUUCAAUGUUUGAGGUAUUUGAUUAUACAUAUGAAUUCAGUGGUAGCUUAUUAGUAGUUUCAAUUCUCAAAUAUAUGUGGCCUGCAACUAAUUUCAACAAAAUGAUCUCCAUGUUUAAUAUUGUCCGUAUGUGCCUAAGGCAAUAAGUUUAGAAAUGGGCCUGUUGAGUUAGCUUGCCUAAUACGAGGCCCAAAACUGUCAAUCCAGUUCUCUUUAGGUCUUCGGCCCAAUCUCAGGCCCAAGGGUCUUUUGCCUUGGCAUAUCAUGUGGCCGUUUGGAUUCAUAUACUAGAAUGCAUUUUUGUUUUCUCCUUUUGUCUUCAUCUAGGUUCGAACUCGGCCCUAACUUGUUAAGUGUUUUGUAUGAUGGCUAUGAAAUAUGCCCCUUCUUUGUUGGGAUUUCAAGGUUGGCCCAGUACCGACCAAAUCAGUUGGGCUUUACCCUCCCUGUCUCCCGUUUGGUUUUGUCUAAGCCCAAGCCCCAUUAGCCUAUUUGCUCUAGUUAUUUCUGCUGAAAUUUAGGUUUGUAAUUGGCCCCCGAAAAUAGUUCAAGGACUAGCAUGUAUCUCAAGUCUUUUACCGGCAGUUCAAAUUUGCCCUCUUCUUUAAAAAUAAGAGUGUCUUGGGAUUUAACUCUUUCUUAACUAAUAAAUUGAGGUGUGCUAUUUAAACCAAAUCACCUAUGGCCCUCACAAACACAUUCGCGUGACAUAAUUACAAUUCUAAAAACCAAUUCGGGGUAUACAUUCGUGCAACUUUAAUCAGAUUUUUCUUAAUAAUAAUUGAUU
rnacentral:lncRNA from 1 species